rnacentral:tRNA from 2 species
UCCUGGGUUGUGUAAUGGUAGCACGACGCCCUUUGAAGGCGUUUGUCUAGGUUCGAAUCCUAGCCCAGGAGCCA